rnacentral:rRNA from 1 species
CUGGUGAGUAACACGUGGGUGAUCUGCCCUGCACUUCGGGAUAAGCCUGGGAAACUGGGUCUAAUACCGGAUAGGAGCCAUUUUUAGUGUGAUGGUUGGAAAGUUUUUUCGGUGUAGGAUGAGCUCGCGGCCUAUCAGCUUGUUGGUGGGGUAAUGGCCUACCAAGGCGGCGACGGGUAGCCGGCCUGAGAGGGUUGACGGCCACAUUGGGACUGAGAUACGGCCCAG